AAGUUAUUGGGGUUGGUUAAUAGGGACUGGUAGCAGCCAGGGACUACAGUUAGGUCUUGGGGGUUGGUUAAUAGGGACGUAGCAGGGACUACAGUUAGGUCUUGGGGGUUGGUUAAUAGGGACUGGUAGCAGCCAGGGACUACAGUUAGGUCUUGGGGGUUGGAUAAUAGGGACUGGUAGCAGCCAGGGACUACAGUUAGGUCUUGGGGGUUGGUUAAUAGGGACUGGUAGCAACCAGGGACUACAAUUAGGUCUUGGGGGUUGGUUAAUAGGGACUGGUAGCAGCCAGGGACUACAGUUAGGUCUUGGGGGUUGGAUAAUAGGGACUGGUAGCAGCCAGGGACUACAGUUAGGUCUUGGGGGUUGGUUAAUAGGGACUGGUAGCAGCCAGGGACUACAGUUAGGUCUUGGGGGUUGGUUAAUAGGGACUGGUAGCAGCCAGGGACUACAGUUAUGUCUUGGGGGUUGGUUAAUAGGGACUGGUAGCAGCCAGGGACUACAGUUAGGUCUUGGGUGUUGGUUAAUAGGGACUGGUAGCAGCCAGGGACUACAGUUAGGUCUUGGGGGUUGGUUAAUAGAGACUGGUAGCAGCCAGGGACUACAGUUAGGUCUUGGGGGUUGGAUAAUAGGGACUGGUAGCAGCCAGGGACUACAGUUAGGUCUUAGGGGUUGGUUAAUAGGGACUGGUAGCAGCCAGGGACUACAGUUAGGUCUUGGGGGUUGGUUAAUAGGGACCGGUAGCAGGGACUACAGUUAGGUCUUGGGGGCUGGUUAAUAGGGACCG
rnacentral:lncRNA from 1 species